rnacentral:rRNA from 1 species
AUUGAACGCUGGCGGCAGGCCUAAUACAUGCAAGUCGAGCGAGCGGAGGACGGUUGAGGACUGUAUGGGGACUGCCCGAAAGCGGGGGAUAACUACUGGAAAAGGUAGCGAAAACCGCAUACAAUCCGCUUACCCAUAUGGGAUUAGCUAGUAGGUGAGGUAAUGGCUCACCUAGGCGACGAUCCCUAGCUGGUCUGAGAGGAUGAUCAGCCACACUGGGACUGAGACACGGCCCAGACUCCUACGGAGGCAGCAGUGGGGAAUAUUGCACAAUGGGCGCAAGCCUGAUGCAGCCAUGCCGCGUGUAUGAAGAAGGCCCUAGGGUUGUAAAGUACUUUCAGUCGGGAGGCGUUACCGACAGAAGAAGCACCGGCUAACUCCGUGCCAGCAGCCGCGGUAAUAC